UCAUUAUAGUUGGGAUUUUUUAGAUCAGCAGUUAUUGAUAAAGCUCUUAUCAUAAAUCUUCUACUGGCCUACUAAGUCCCAAUAUAAUGA
rnacentral:pre_miRNA from 1 species